AUAUGAACCGCUGACUAUCGUACGGACGGGGCUAUCAAAAGUGCCUAUAAGCCCAGCAAAGUAAAUGAAAAAGACAAGUCAAUUUCCCCUAAACAAACCCGACCGACCGACCGACCGACCGACCCAAUAACUCUCCUCUCUCAAUCCCCGAUCGUACCUCCGCCAUCGACACCACCGCCGUUCUGCCGUCACUGACGCUAUCACCGGCCGCCCCAGCUCUGCCUCAUCUCCGAGCUCCGCCCGACCCCGACCUCCAAAGCCUUAUCCUCUACCUGCCGUGCAGACCAUCAGCAUCACUUCGGCGUGACGGUCCUCCUCCGGAACGGGCAAGACCCAGCUGAGCUCACGUCGCGUCUUCUUUCCCAACGCGGUCUCCGGCGCAGCUCCGAGUCCUUAUCCACCGUCGGACCCUGAAACGGUAGCAGCGAAUGCCCCUCACUCUUCCCCCUCUCCCUAUGCAGGACAGUUAUGGUGCGUAUCUCUUGGUGUUAGACGAUAAACUAAGAAAAAGCCUGGUUUGAGCUCUCCUACCGUUUCUUGUGCUGGCUCAAAUGCUGCAAAAAUUGCUCAUUACCGUCCACAGAAACCUCCAAUUUGUUCGAGCAUGCGCCGAUCUUUUUAGAACCUGGCAAGGACUCUUUCAUCCUCAGAUGCUUCAAAUUAUUGAAAAAGAACACUUGCCUUUGGUUCUUCGCCUAAUGCAACUUCCUUGUCUUGUCUGACUCUCAAUCUCAGUGCCCUCCACAUAGCUUUCAUGUAAACCCCAGAUAUCUAGAAGGGCAACGGCUUCAUCGAUCAGUUAGGGCAUUGCCAAAAAUCACGGCAGCAUUCGCAGUGCUUUAGUUCCUCUAUUGUGGUAGAGCAACCAGCAUAUCAAGGUCACUGGACUGGGCUGCUGAUGGAUCACAAAAAUUGUUUAGAAUAGGCUCUGAUCUAGGUGCGUGUUAACUUAACAGAAGUUCGGGAAUUUCACCAACUCGAUGAUUCAAGUGAGAUGGAUAUAUCCAAACUCAAAAGAAAUGGUGUGUCGUUCGGAAUCCUUUGGCAGCUUUGAGAGCCUCACUAGAGGAACUUCCACCGGGACUUGCCUUUUCUUCAGUUAGUAAAAAGAAAUCGAUGAAUCCUAGACUAGUUUAGAGUCCAUGAAAUUUGUCAAAUUAAUUCUCUUCGACCUCCAAGGCGGCUUCUCAUCAGGUUCGGGAUAUUCUAAAUUAAUCCUAGACUGUAGAGUCCAGGAAAUUGCCAGAGCUCCGCGGAUAAUCUUAGCAGUUGGAUCGAAUUUUUAAUAUUGGUACGUUUCUCUCGAGGCUUAAGAUCACUGACAAUUUCAACUGAAGCUUAACAUUUGGGUCUGUCUAUCCGAAAUAUCAUAUGUUUUACAAUUUCAA